UGUUUGUUUUAAAAUUGUAACAUAGUGAUGACUGUUGUACUCAUAUUUUGACUAUUUUAUUUAUUAUGUCUGUUUUGUUCACGCAUCGUUGUAAAUAUAACGGAACUUGAUGAGACUGUACAUGUCGUAAAAGUGCUAUAAAACCAGGUUCAAUCCAUCAUUUUCUACAUUGAAAAUGCCUGUACCAAAUCAGGAAUAUGGCAGUUGUUGUUCAUUCGUUUGAUGUGUUUUGUCAUUUGAUUUUGCCAUGUGAUUAGGGACUUUCCGAUUGAAUUUUCCUCGGAGUUCAGUAUUUUUGUGAUUUUACCUUUUUGCUACAUGGAACAGAGGGUAUUCUGACAAGGAAUACAUUUCAAAUGUUAGAAGCCAACAGUUGAUAAUCCCUUGAUAUUUGGUUCACGGGGUAUUUAACUUUAUCUACAUGAGACAACGGAUUCGAUGUCCCCAUCCAACAGGAAGUUAAUUGCUGCACAGACAAACUAGGUCAAAUUUCUAUAUUCUGGGUAUUCCUGGAGUAAACAUCAUUAUAUAGUCCAAAUUAUUUACAUAUUGGAAGAAAAUACUCAUGAUAUUUCUUCUUUUUACUCUUGUCAUCAAAAUAUAAAAACAAUU
rnacentral:lncRNA from 1 species